rnacentral:rRNA from 1 species
UCGGGAAUUUUUGGCAAUGGGGGAAACCCUGACCCAGCAACGCCGCGUGAAGGAUGAAGUAUUUCGGUAUGUAAACUUCGAAAGAAUAGGAAGAAUAAAUGACGGUACUAUUUAUAAGGUCCGGCUAACUACGUGCCAGCAGCCGCGGUAAUACGUAGGGACCAAGUGUUGUUCGGAUUUACUGGGCGUAAAGGGCGCGUAGGCGGCAUGACAAGUCACUUGUGAAAUCUCUGGGCUUAACCCAGAACGGCCAAGUGAUACUGUCGCGCUAGAGUGCAGAAGGGGCAAUCGGAAUUCUUGGUGUAGCGGUGAAAUGCGUAGAUAUCAAGAGGAACACCUGAGGUGAAGACGGGUUGCUGGGCUGACACUGACGCUGAGGCGCGAAAGCCAGGGGAGCAAACAGGAUUAGAUACCCCAGUAGUCCCUGAGCGGGCUGGCAAGGCGCAU